UGGACAGAAGUUUCUGCAGGCACAGGUGG
rnacentral:piRNA from 1 species